rnacentral:rRNA from 1 species
UACGUAGAGUGCACGACGGUUGUCCGGAACGUUAAGGUUAGGGCGGUAAAGGGUACGCAGGCGGAUAGUAAAGUCAAGCGUGAAAGGUGUCGGCUUAACCGACAGACUGCGUUUGAAACUGAUUAUCUUGAGUGUAACCAGAGGAGGAGUGGAAUUUCCUAGUGUAGUGGUGAAAUACGUAGAUAUUAGGAAGAACACCAGUGGCGAAAGGCGUACUCUCUGGGUUAACACUGACGCUGAGGUACGAAAGCUGGGGGAGCAAACGGGAUUAGAUACCCCCGUAGU